rnacentral:rRNA from 1 species
CAUUGUCGAAAUCGAACGUAAGGACGACCCGCGAAUAGUCAUUGCGAACAAGAGAGGGCCCGGGGGCGCACGACGCUCGCGCGGCUCGCGUCGCGUCGGCGUGGACCCGCUCGAGGCCCUCGUCGUACCGACGGAAAAAAAACUUCAGCACGAAUCGUGCCAAGGAGCUGCACGGAGAGAAUCGUCGUCCCACGUCUUCGUUCGCCCUCGAUGCGGGACGGCAGGCGGGGGGCGCGAGCGAUCUCUGCUCAAGUCUAAAUGACUCUCGACAACGGAUAUCUCGGCUCUUGCAUCGAUGAAGAACGUAGCGAAAUGCGAUACUUGGUGUGAAUUGCAGAAUCCCGCGAACCAUCAAUUCUUUGAACGCAAGUUGCGCCCGAAGCCAUUCGGCCGAGGGCACGCCUGCCUGGGUGUCGUCAAUCCCCUUGCCCCAGGGCACCCCUGUUGGGGAAUCGCUAGGGCGCAGAACGUGGCCUCCCGUGCGGUCGGCACGCGCGGCGUGUCGAGGCGCGGUUGGCCGAAAAAAGAGCAUGGAGGUGACGAGCACCACGGCGUUCGGUGGAUCGAAUGAGAUUCGGCUGCGUCGUGGUCUCGGAACGUGUCUCGCUCCGGGCUAUUUACGAUCCCCAGUGCGA